rnacentral:rRNA from 1 species
AUUGAACGCUGGCGGCAUGCCUUACACAUGCAAGUCGAACGGCAGCAUGGAGAGCUUGCUCUCUGAUGGCGAGUGGCGAACGGGUGAGUAAUGCAUCGGAACGUACCGUGUAAUGGGGGAUAACGUAGCGAAAGUUACGCUAAUACCGCAUACGACCUGAGGGCGAAAGCAGGGGAUCGCAAGACCUUGCGUUAUACGAGCGGCCGAUGUCAGGAUUAGCUAGUUGGUGAGGUAAAGGCUCACCAAGGCGACGAUCUGUAGCGGGUCUGAGAGGAUGAGCCGCCACGCUGGGACUGAGACACGGCCCAGACUCCUACGGGAGGCAGCAGUGGGGAAUUUUGGACAAUGGGGGCAACCCUGAUCCAGCCAUGCCGCGUGAGUGAAGAAGGCCUUCGGGUUGUAAAGCUCUUUCGGCCGGGAAGAAAUCGCACAGGCUAAUACUCUGUGUGGAUGACGGUACCGGCAUAAGAAGCACCGGCUAACUACGUGCCAGCCGCCGCAGUAA